UGCAUAGUGGUUUAGUGGUUAGCACAUUCACCUCGCACCUCCAGAGUUGGGGGUUUGAAUCCCGCCUCUGCCC